rnacentral:tRNA from 1 species
GGCGCUAUAGCCAAGUGGUUACGGCGACAGAUUCGAACGAUUGUUAUCUGUUCCUCUUUGAGGGCGCAGGUUCAAAUCCUGCUGGCGUCG